GCGCUGCCUCUGCCCUGCGUAUUCUCAAAGCUGGCUAUUUGCCCCCAGUCUAAAAGUACCUUUCCGCCGGCUGUCUGGGUAGCUGAUAUUUUGUAUAUGUCACAUCCUGGCUUUUAUUUAUCGCAGCCUCUCUUCCCGUAGGACUUUUUCCGUUGACGGAAGUAGGACAGUGCUGGUUCCUAUGAUGCAGAGCAACGACCUAGCUGUGCGUCACUUUGGUCUUGGCACCGAGGUGCCAGCUCUGUGGCCUGGCCGGCGGUGAGCUCCAGCCCCAGCCUCGGGGAGUGGGGGACUUGCUACAGACAAUUUCUGAAGGGUGUGGAGUUCGUCAGGAUGAGUUUCACGUUCGAGGCCCCAAAUUCUACCUGUGGGUGCCUGGCUGCACUUUUUUCCCACCUUGGGGUCUUCGCGUUGACAGCGACCUGGACCUGGAAGCGGCCUCGCCAGGUGUGGACGCCCUUCCGGGUCUUUGUUGACAGUGAGGACUCAGCACAAAGGCUGCCUCCCGGGGAAAGCCCUAAUGACCCAGCCCAGAGGUAGUGCUGCCUACCUCCCGGU
rnacentral:lncRNA from 1 species